rnacentral:tRNA from 1 species
GGUUCGAUGGUGUAGUUGGUUAUCACGUCAGUCUAACACCAGUUAGUCCACUGAAGGUCUCCAGUUCAAGUCUGGGUCGAAUCA